GUGGAAUAUCUCUCCAAAACACCACUCUUGAGGUUACCUGUCUUCUGGCUGGUAAUGACGUUUAGUGGAUUUUUAGGUCUGGCAAUCAGCUUCACUUCUAUGUGGUUUCUUCAUCAAACAGGGGCUACCACAUACAGCCUUGUGGGAUCACUGAAUAAGAUCCCCCUCUCAAUUGCUAGCAUCCUUCUAUUCAAAGUACGUACCAAUUUGGAAAACUCAGCAAGCAUUUUCUUUGGUUUACUGGCGGGAGUGUUUUUUGCGAAAGCCAAAAUGCAGGAAAGAUCUUAGUCCUGACUAUCCUGACUUUCUAUUAACUGUGGUAUACAUGAAAAACGUG
rnacentral:misc_RNA from 1 species